AGGUCUGGGUCUAGACCACCCUGAACAAUAGGAAAUAUAGUUUGAUCAUCAUUCCGGGAAUGAGCUCCCAAGCAGCGAUCCAGCCACCUUGUUGUCCUAUCAAGAAAAAACUUGGGUGACUAGAUUGUGCCCUUCGGGCUCUAGAUCUCUACCGAUGCAUUGCUUCUUCAACUCGCGGACCAGUAGUCGUGGAAUGGACAACGUCAUCAAGCUGCAUCAUGAUAUCAGCCCCAAUUGCGUUCUGAAUCUCAGUAGAGUGCUCUGGGGACGGCUUACCAUCAUAAGGCGAUUUGAAAUUCACACCAUCUUCUGUUAUUUCUGCAAGUUCUAGUAAUGACACCAUUUGAAACCCGCCUGAAUCUGUGAGAAGAGCUCGUGGCCAAUUCAUGAAUUUAUGGAGACCGCCGGCCUUCUUCAGAAUUUCAACACCCUGCAAAGCACAAAAUUCAAAAUUAUAUUAGCGAUCAAAGAGAGAGCAGAUCAGGCGGUGAGAGAUAAAAGAUUUACUCACAGGUUUUGUUCCCAAGUGAUAUGUAUUUCCAAGAAUAAUUUGACAGUUCAGUGCUUCAAGUUGUUGCGGUAGUAGACCCUUAAUUGUACCCUGGGCGAAAAUAAUAUCACAUGUUAAUGGUUGAAAGACAUAUUUAUUCAAAAGCUAUGUGACCAAAUAAAUUGUCCUUGUUUA